AGUGAACGCUGGCGGUAGGCCUAACACAUGCAAGUCGAACGGCAGCACAGUAAGAGCUUGCUCUUACGGGUGGCGAGUGGCGGACGGGUGAGGAAUACAUCGGAAUCUACUUUUUCGUGGGGGAUAACGUAGGGAAACUUACGCUAAUACCGCAUACGACCUACGGGUGAAAGCAGGGGAACUUCGGACCUUGCGCGAUUGAAUGAGCCGAUGUCGGAUUAGCUAGUUGGCGGGGUAAAGGCCCACCAAGGCGACGAUCCGUAGCUGGUCUGAGAGGAUGAUCAGCCACACUGGAACUGAGACACGGUCCAGACUCCUACGGGAGGCAGCAGUGGGGAAUAUUGGACAAUGGGCGCAAGCCUGAUCCAGCCAUACCGCGUGGGUGAAGCAGGCCUUCGGGUUGUAAAGCCCUUUUGUUGGGAAAGAAAAGCAGCAGGUGAAUACCCCGCUGUUCUGACGGUACCCAAAGAAUAAGCACCGGCUAACUUCGUG
rnacentral:rRNA from 1 species